rnacentral:rRNA from 1 species
GACGAACGCUGGCGGCGUGCCUAAUACAUGCAAGUUGAGCGCUGAAGGUUGGUACUUGUACCGACUGGAUGAGCAGCGAACGGGUGAGUAACGCGUGGGGAAUCUGCCUUUGAGCGGGGGACAACAUUUGGAAACGAAUGCUAAUACCGCAUAAAAACUUUAAACACAAGUUUUAAGUUUGAAAGAUGCAAUUGCAUCACUCAAAGAUGAUCCCGCGUUGUAUUAGCUAGUUGGUGAGGUAAAGGCUCACCAAGGCGAUGAUACAUAGCCGACAUGAGAGGGUGAUCGGCCACAUUGGGACUGCGACACGGCCCAAACUCCUACGGGAGGCAGCAGUAGGGAAUCUUCGGCAAUGGACUAAAGUCUGACCGAGCAACGCCGCGUGAGUGAAGAAGGUUUUCGGAUCGUAAAACUCUGUUGGUAGAGAAGAACGUUGGUGAGAGUGGAAAGCUCAUCAAGUGACGGUAACUACCCAGAAAGGGACGGCUAACUACGUGCCAGCCGCCGCAGUAA